rnacentral:rRNA from 1 species
AGUAAAUUAUAUUAUCUUAAAUUAUGGAACCCUACGGGCUCCCAGUUUUGAAAUUUUUAAAGUUGGGAAACCAAGCAUAAGAGAUUAAUAAGUUGUGGGACUAAGAAAGUGCCAGCAGUCGCGGUCAUACUUUUUCCACAGAAUUUACUACAUCAGGGAAAUACAUCAAGAGCAAGAUAGUUUCUGUAGUGAAAUAUAUAAGUAAUAUAGACCACACAAUUGAAUAAUAAAAAACAUCGUCACGAAACAGGGAUUAGAUACCCCUUUAUUGGGUGCCACCAAUUUACCCGGGGUAUUAAAGUAUUUAUAUGCCUAAACCUAAAAGUCAUGGCGGUAACUUUAAUAUUUAGGGGAACUUAUCUAGUAAAUGAUAACCACCAAGUAUCACUACUUUAAAUUAAAUUUUGUAUGCCGUCGUCGUCAGAUACAGUACAAUACUAUAUCUGAGUAGUUCCACUAAAAAGACAGAUCAAGGUGCAGACUAUUUUAAAGAUAAGACGAGUUACAAUAGUAUAUAGCUUCAAAAGUUAUAUAAAAUAUAACUGCAGGCGGACUUAAAAGUAAAUAAAAUUAUAGAUAGUUUUUGAAUUUUGUUAAAGUUGUGCACAAAUCGCCCGUCACUCUCGAAGUUAUUUGAGAUAAGUCGUAACAUAGUAGGUGUAGCGGAAGCUGCCCCUG